rnacentral:rRNA from 1 species
CCUACGGGAGGCAGCAGUGGGGAAUAUUGCACAAUGGGGGGAACCCUGAUGCAGCGAUGCCGCGUGGAGGAAGAAGGUUUUCGGAUUGUAAACUCCUGUCUUAAAGGACGAUAAUGACGGUACUUUAGGAGGAAGCUCCGGCUAACUACGUGCCAGCAGCCGCGGUAAUACGUAGGGAGCGAGCGUUGUCCGGAAUUACUGGGUGUAAAGGGAGCGUAGGCGGGAUCGCAAGUCAGAUGUGAAAUACAUAGGCUUAACCUAUGGGCUGCAUUUGAAACUGCGGUUCUUGAGUGAAGUAGAGGUAAGCGGAAUUCCUGGUGUAGCGGUGAAAUGCGUAGAUAUCAGGAGGAACACCGGUGGCGAAGGCGGCUUACUGGGCUUUAACUGACGCUGAGGCUCGAAAGCGUGGGUAGCAAACAGGAUUAGAUACCCUGGUAGUC